UGGCACUGGCAAUGCACAUACUUACUAGA
rnacentral:piRNA from 1 species